rnacentral:rRNA from 1 species
UCCGUAGGUGAACCUGCGGAAGGAUCAUUAGUGAAUAUAGGACGUCCAACUUAACUUGGAGUCCGAACUCUCACUUUCUAACCCUGUGCACUUGUUUGGGAUAGUAACUCUCGCAAGAGAGCGAACUCCUAUUCCACUUAUAAACACAAAGUCUAUGAAUGUAUUAAAUUUUAUAACAAAAUAAAACUUUCAACAACGGAUCUCUUGGCUCUCGCAUCGAUGAAGAACGCAGCGAAAUGCGAUAAGUAAUGUGAAUUGCAGAAUUCAGUGAAUCAUCGAAUCUUUGAACGCACCUUGCGCUCCAUGGUAUUCCGUGGAGCAUGCCUGUUUGAGUGUCAUGAAUACUUCAACCCUCCUCUUUCUUAAUGAUUGAAGAGGUGUUUGGUUUCUGAGCGCUGCUGGCCUUUACGGUCUAGCUCGUUCGUAAUGCAUUAGCAUCCGCAAUCGAACUUCGGAUUGACUUGGCGUAAUAGACUAUUCGCUGAGGAAUUCUAGUCUUCGGACUAGAGCCGGGUUGGGUUAAAGGAAGCUUCUAAUCAGAAUGUCUACAUUUUAAGAUUAGAUCUCAAAUCAGGUAGGACUACCCGCUGAACUUAAGCAUAUCAAUAAGCGGAGGAA